rnacentral:rRNA from 1 species
CGAAAGCCUGACGGAGCAAGACCGCGUGAGGGAGGAAGGUCUGUGGAUUGUAAACCUCUUUUCUCAGGGAAGAAGAACUGACGGUACCUGAGGAAUCAGCAUCGGCUAACUCCGUGCCAGCAGCCGCGGUAAUACGGAGGAUGCAAGCGUUAUCCGGAAUUAUUGGGCGUAAAGAGUCCGUAGGUGGUUUCACAAGUCUACUGUCAAAGCCCGCAGCUUAACUGCGGAGAGGCGGUGGAAACUGUGAGACUAGAGUGUGAUAGGGGUAGAGGGAAUUCCCAGUGUAGCGGUGAAAUGCGUAGAUAUUGGGAAGAACACCGGUGGCGAAAGCGCUCUACUGGAUCAUAACUGACACUGAGGGACGAAAGCCAAGGUAGCG